rnacentral:lncRNA from 1 species
ACAAGUCACGGCAUCCGUGUUUCUAAAACAAAUCCCCAAAGUGAUGCUUAUGAUCAAGCAAGUAUAAGACACUGUCUCCAAACUGUACGCCUGGUCCUGCCAGAUGCUGCGAUGGCGGGAAGGAAAUACAAAAUGGGUAGCCGAUGCUCCUUGCUGUCAGGAGACAGUUCGGAGGCAAGACGGAUUCAGACCCCACGGUGCACCACAGUUGGAUGAUAACGGUGUAGUUCUGAUCAUGGAACAGCUAGUCCUCAGAAAGGGGGUAGACUGUAGAUUAGAAGACGUAGAAAGAAUCAGGGAAGGCUGUAAGGAAGAGGCAGAACCAAGGAUUAAAGGUGGGAGGAUGAAGGGCGUUUUAGACAGACAGUGCAUCACCGACGAAAGCCUUGGAAGGAGCAUGAGUUUGGUAUUUUCACAAGGCAGAGAGUGGGUCAGCCAAGCAGGCUGGAGGUUUGGGCGGAGACUGUGCAGGACGUCUGACUAAACGGGGCAGUUUCCAUGCGCAGCCCUAGGGAACCAGGGCGGGCCCCGGAGCGAGUGCUCUCAUGAUAAAAGGGGUGACUGAGUAAGAUGAAGACCUCCGUUCCCCAGCUCCUUGAAUCAUAAGCGAAGAUGAGAGGUAACACCUCCAGCUUGGCCAGAGAACACCCGGCGGCAUCUUAAAUCUGGGGGCCCCUGAGACCUUCCCCAGCUUUGCAGCAGGGCUCCUGAACCUGCAAGAGGUGUCUUCGAGGGAUGGGUCAGGCUGAGAAGGAGGCGUUCAGGGAUUGGGGUGGGGAGGUUGCGUACCCCUGCAGCCUCGAUGGAGAGGUGAGGAAGGAGACAGGGCGGACGCCUAUAUAUCAAUAUAGGACAAGGCUACAGACAAAGCCAGCCAGCGCUGGAAAUGCUGCAUGGAGCUACCUGGAGCAAUUUGAUGUGCCUCUAAGUUAUUUUAGCAUCAAAGGCGGAGUGACCAUAUGGAAAGAACGAAGGGCCAGAAAAGACAGGCUUGGGCUGAAAGAAACCAGGAGUCCAGUCUGACUGCCUUGACGCAGAACAGACAGGAGCCAGAGCUUUCUGGAGAAGAAGUGAGACAUUCAGAAGAACUGGCUUCACCAGUUGCCAUGUUAUGUGCCAAAUGAGUUCUCCUGAAAACUAGAGGCUCAGUGGGUCGAGGCCCUUGGUUUAAGUGACAGGAAACCAAACUCAAAGUAGUUCAGGCAAAAGGGAAAUGUACUGGCCCAAGUGCCAGUCGUGCCGUCAUUUGGCUUCAGGCACAGCUGAAUCCAGGGCACUCUUGUGAUAUAAUCAGGAUGCUUGUCUGAGCAGCUUCAGCUUUAUUUUCCUCCGUGUGGCCUCGUUCUCUGACGAUGUUCUUCCAUGUCAUGGAAAAGGGGGUGUCCAUCAGCUCCAGCCAAAGUCCUUCGGAAGGAGGGAGACCCUCUCUCCUAGGAUCCAUUCUGGUCCUUUACCCACCCUUAGACCAAUGACUGUGUUCCCAGAAUGGGGCACUCUGAUUGGUCAGCUUGAGUUUCAUGUCCAUGUAGGUGGUGGGGGAAUCUUGGCCCUUGAUUGACAGUCCAUCAGAAUCCCAAAGGGCUGGAAGGAGGGAAAGCCCUCAAAAGGAAUAAAAACAAAAUAUGGGGCAGAGAAAAGAAUCAGAUAUUCAUGAUGCUGCUCUUAGGAGUUCCUAAUAGGAUCAUCUAGAGAGGAUGAUCCUAGACGGUUUCCCCACGGAGAACAGGCAUUGGAAGAAGACGGUGAGCUGUCAAGGCAGAGGGGUGGCUUGGAAAACACACAGGAGUCCCUGCUCCAAAAAGAUGUCCAUCGCUUUGCCGUAUUCCUGUGUUGAUCCUCUCCCCUUUUCUCAUCCUCAAUCAAGGCAUUCUUGUCUUGUAUCUGAUUUUAAUGGAAUGCUUCUAAAGAUUCAUAAUUAGUACUAAACAGUCAAUUUUUUAAAAAGGAAAAUCUUGGACAUAGAGUAUUAAUUUUCAUAUAUAUUCCUUAUAACUUUUUUAUACUGAUGGUAGCGUACUACUUACAUUGUUGUGCACCUUCCUAAGCCUACGCAUAUAUGUUUCAUAGGUUUCUGAAUAUUUAUGGAAGCUUCCAGAAGAAACUGGGAACAUGAACCGCUGUCAGGGAAGAGAGCUGAGUGGGUGGUGGGACAUUUAGCUCUAAGCAUCACUUCAGCUGUAUACUUAAGUUUUGAUAGGUAAGGCUUUUGAUGUUUUUCAGUUCAAAACAUUUUCUGUUUCCUAAUGGUUUCCUUUCUCUUAUUUAGGGUGAAUUUUUUAGUUUCCAAACUUGGGGUAUUUGACAUUCAAUUUAAUCACAUGAUGGACAGAGGAUGUGAUGUGACCUUAUAUUUUUUUUUUAUUUCUUUGAAAAUAUUAUGAUCCAGGAGUUUCCUUUGUGGCUCAGUGGGUUAAAAACCUGACAUAGUGUCCAUGAGGAUGUGGGUUCAAUCCCUGGCCUCAAUUAGUAGGUUAAGGAUCUGGUGUUGCCAUAAGCUGCAGUGUAGGUCAUAAAAGUGGCUUGGAUCUGCUGUGGCUGUGGCUGUGGUCUCUGCAUGUACCUGAAGCUCUGAUUUGACUUCUAGCCCAGGAAAUUCCAUAUGUCACAUGAUUGCCCCCCCAAAAAAUAAAGGAAAAUAUUGUGAUCUAAUAAAUGAUCAGUUUCUAAGUAUUCCACAUAUACUUGAAAAUAAUGUAUUCUUUACUUAAUAGAUAAACUAUCUUAUAUAGAUUUUAAAUGGUUGAAUUCUGUUUAAAUUUAAAGCCUAAAUAUUUUUUGUUGGCUCUCUAUAACAGUCUUCUUGAGCUCAGUUAAGAUUUUCCACUAUGAUAAUAGAUUUUUCCAGUUUUUCUGGUAAUUUGAUCAGUUGUGCUUUUUAGAUUUUUGAGACUAUUUUGGUAUAAAGCCACACAAGUUUAUGACUCCAUCUUCUUAGGGGCACAUUUCUUUCAGUAUCAUAUACCAUCCUUCUUUUGUCACUACUAGUAUUUUUUGCCUUAAAUCCUCUUUUGUCUGAUGGAAGUAUUAAAAUUUGGGCAAGAGCAACUAGAUUUCCCUUUGGUCAGUUUCCUCAGCUAUUAAAAAAAAAAAAAGAGUAAUUAGAACCUUAUCUUGGAAUUCUCUGGUGGCUCAGUGGGUUAGGGAUCUGGCAUUGUUGCUGCUGUGGCACAGGUUCGAUCCCUAGUGGGACCUUCUGCAUGCUGUGGGCACAGC